CCGUGCUCUUGGGGAAGGGCUUGAUGACGGCCGUUUGGUUGGGGUUCUCUUUCUUGUUGAUGUGGAUGGACAGCCGCUGCCACAGGUGCUGCCCCCGGCUGCUCUUCUCGUUCUGGGCCCACGUGACGGAUUUGCCAUUGGAGCUGCGGAGAGAAGGGAGACUAGAGGUGUCUACUGAGUUCUGGAACAUGGCACAGAAGAAAUGGGCCAGACUAUUUAUGGGAUUUGAUUGGGAGGAUGGUUGCCAACAACCCCCUUUCUCUCCUACCAGCAAGGUAAGAAACAUGCAUGUUGGAAAGGAAAAUUAGUCGUUCAGGUUGCUGAGGCCACUUUUAACACAAAGCUUGGGCUAUAAAGUAGAAGCAUAACUGGAUUUAUCCUACUAAGCUUUACUCUAGGAAAGUUCUUGCUCCCAACAUGGAGAGGUUUUGAUGGAACAUAACUCUGGGUAUUAACAGUGUCAGUCUUUGGAAUCACAUGCAGUAGAGCCUAAAAACUUGACAGCAGGUGGAAAAGCCUUUGGAUGAAUGUGUGAGAAGGAAACUAUCCUAACCAGCCAAUCUGCACAAAAUACUGACAUUUUUCCUGGCCAUGCCUUUGCUCAUGGUGUCCAUGGUCAUUUGGGAGAGAGAGCGCCAAAUAAUCUGAAUACCAAUGGAAAUGGACACAGGAGACACCGGAGAAAUGGAGUCCAAAUAAUUGACUGUUGGGAAAACAUCCAUGAUGGCAGGUGGAGAAUAGAAGACAAAAAGCAAACAAAAAAAAGGGACUUUCUAAGUAGCCUUGGGUACUUAGAAAUACUAAAUAAAAUCUUUUGAAUGCUUUCUGUGUGCCACACAGUCUGCUAAGUGUUGUGCUUGCAUUAUCUCAUUUAAUUUUCACAGGAUUAUAUAAUAAGGGGAGUGCUAUAUUAUUAUCUUCAUUUUAUAGAAAAUAGAGAUUAAGGAAGUAAAAUGGCACCUCCAGGUCACACUGACUAGUGCCGGAACCAGGUUUUAAGGUCUUUGAUUUCAGAAUUUUCGCUAAAACUUUUUAAUAUUAGGUUAUUGGAUAUCCCUGGACCUCAUUUUCCUCAUCUGUACUAUGGAAAGGUCAUUCUUGGGAGUGCAUAACCAAUGAGAAGGUACUGCUACAGUGUCUGAUGUAUAAUAAUUACAGCAACGGUAGUAACUGAUACUGUUACCUGUUUUAGAAUGUCUCUAUAAGUUGGAACAUUAAUUUGAAACUGACUUUGAGGAGGAAUGAAGAGAAGACUACUGCAGCAUUCCUAUCAUUAUGAAACUAGCUGGCUUCAUAGUAGAAAGAAAGAACGUUGCUCUUCUGUGGCUCUGAAUUUUGUAUAACUGUGUGUAGUCCUUUUCAACACUCAAUUCAGGUUAAUAUUAUUUUGUUUAUUUUACUCCUAAUUCUCUCUGCACUGGCAUAAGCUGUACUUUCUGAUAUUAAAUGAGGAUUUAAUUAGACACAUACAUGUUCCUGUGGGACAGGGGUUACUGCUGCAUUGCAAUUAUCUUUUCUGAUGUUGUUCCCCCAUGGACUAUAGAUUUGCAAGGGCAUUAGUCAAGUCUUGGUCAUCUAUUUAUCUCCAGAGUCCUGUAAGUGCUUGGCUUAUGGUAGGUGCUUAAUGAGUGAGCAUAACACUAAGGAAGAAAUCACUGAAUUAAUGAAAGGCGAAACAAUUUUAACACAGACAUCACAAUUUGGGAUUGCUUUUGAAAUCUGAGUUCCUGGUGAUUAUGACAUCACUGUUACUAGAUUCUCUAAAGGCUCUAGUAGACAUUUAUUAUACCCACUAAAAUUAGAUGCUGCAUCUACUAGGUAAAAAUCAGUGACUCAGGUGGUUGAUAUCAUGACAUUGCAACAGUAAAAAUAACCUCGCACCACCCUCCUCCCUUCAAGCACUGAUGGGACACUGUAGAUCAGUCUAUUUCAUUUGAUUAGGGAGCUCUUUUUCAAAGAGAGACUGAGAGGCUCAGAAUGUCUGUGCCUCCCCCCCUUCAUGGGAUACAUCAUGAGUGCUUCAGAAUGCAGACUCCAGUGAGCACUCUGAUGGAAUGGCCCUGCUGAGACAGGAGAUAAUAACAUUCAUUGUUGAGGUUUUAGCCAUCCCUGAGGUGGACUCUCUCAGUAUGAACUCACAUGAUAACAGGGUUUAGAGAAUUUCUGGUGCUUAGAGCACCUCCCUGUUUAGGACUCUCUUUCACUUCUCCUGCAAUCAGGAGUUCUCUGAUCUGAAACACACUUAGACUGUCCACUGUGAAAAUAUGAAAAGAUGACAAGUUAUGCUAGAUUCAGAUGGAAAGAAAAAAUAAAUUCACAUAAAAGGAAAACAACAUAAUAUUUCAGGAAGCUAGUGUGCUAUGGAUGCAUAUAAUGUUCUUAGUCUUUUCCAAAUGUGGGGGUGGAGGGAAAAGGGGGAAGUGACGGACUAUCUCUAAGGCCCUGUCAUUGUUUCAGGGAAGAUAAUAGUGUUCAGCUCUAGGGCUACAUGUACUGUAAAACUCUUUCCCUGCUGGUUACUUGGCUCUGGAAGAAGAGUUCAGGCAUGAAUUCACCAGGUCCUGUCCUGUUCAUAGCUUCAACAUAGAAAACAGAGGCAAAUAAGGUGCAGGGACACACUCCUCUGGUUUUCUGUGGUGGUUUGAGCUUCCCUCAGCACCCCCCUGCCAGGGCUGGUUGGUUGGUUAUGGCCAGAGAUCCAGCCCAGAUCUUUGCAGAGUGAAUGUGCUUGACUAUGACCCUGGGAAGCAAUUGGGGGAAGGAGUGGGAGCAGACAAGAAAAAGGACCUCAUCAGUGGAUGUUAAAAGUAUCUGUAAAAGUUGAUUAGGUUUUCUUUCCCAGCCCUUCCAUUCAAUUCCAGAGGGAGAAAACUGGGAUUAACUACUCUAACCUCUUAUUUAGAAACAGUUUACACUGCAGUUGUCUCCUCUCUGAUACCUUUUCUCUUAAUAUUCAUUUUAAACUUAUUUCUCCUGGGGUGCCCGGGUGGCUCAGUUGGUUAAGCAUCUGACUC